ACAGUAGUCCGCACAUUGGUU
rnacentral:ncRNA from 3 species